UACGUAGGGGGCAAGCGUUGUCCGGAUUUAUUGGGCGUAAAGAGCGUGUAGGCGGUUUGGUAAGUCGGGUGUGAAAUCUCCACGCUCAACGUGGAGGGGCCACUCGAUACUGCCAUGACUGGAGUCCGGUAGAGGAGUGUGGAAUUCCCGGUGUAGCGGUGAAAUGCGCAGAUAUCGGGAGGAACACCCGUAGCGAAGGCGGCACUCUGGGCCGGAACUGACGCAGAGGAGCGAAAGCGUGGGGAGCAAACAGG
rnacentral:rRNA from 1 species